rnacentral:rRNA from 1 species
GACGAACGCUGGCGGCGCGCCUAACACAUGCAAGUCGAACGAGCGAGAGAGAGCUUGCUUUCUCGAGCGAGUGGCGAACGGGUGAGUAACGCGUGAGUAACCUGCCCAAGAGACUGGGAUAACACCUGGAAACAGAUGCUAAUACCGGAUAACAACACUAGACGCAUGUCUAGAGUUUGAAAGAUGGUUCUGCUAUCACUCUUGGAUGGACCUGCGGUGCAUUAGCUAGUUGGUAAGGUAACGGCUUACCAAGGCAAUGAUGCAUAGCCGAGUUGAGAGACUGAUCGGCCACAUUGGGACUGAGACACGGCCCAA